rnacentral:rRNA from 1 species
GAGUUUGAUCCUGGCUCAGGACGAACGCUGGCGGCGCGCCUAACACAUGCAAGUCGAACGAGAGAGAAGGAGCUUGCUUCUUCGAUCGAGUGGCGAACGGGUGAGUAACGCGUGAGGAACCUGCCUCAAAGAGGGGGACAACAGUUGGAAACGACUGCUAAUACCGCAUAAGCGCACGGGACCGCAUGGUCCAGUGUGAAAAACUCCGGUGGUAUAGGAUGGACCCGCGUUGGAUUAGCUAGUUGGUGGGGUAACGGCCCACCAAGGCGACGAUCCAUAGCCGGCCUGAGAGGGUGAACGGCCACAUUGGGACUGAGACACGGCCCAGACUCCUACGGGAGGCAGCAGUGGGGAAUAUUGCACAAUGGGGGAAACCCUGAUGCAGCGACGCCGCGUGAAGGAAGAAGUAUCUCGGUAUGUAAACUUCUAUCAGCAGGGAAGAUAGUGACGGUACCUGACUAAGAAGCCCCGGCUAACUACGUGCCAGCCGCCGCGGUAAUUC